GAUGAACGCUAGCGGCAGGCCUAACACAUGCAAGUCGAGGGAGAAGCCCUUUCGGGGGCAGAAACCGGCGCACGGGUGCGUAACGCGUAUGCAACCUACCUUUCACAGGGGGAUAGCCCGAAGAAAUUUGGAUUAAUACCCCAUAAUAUUGUUGGAUGGCAUCAUUUGGCAAUUAAAACUGCGGUGGUGAAAGAUGGGCAUGCGUCCUAUUAGCUAGUUGGAGUGGUAACGGCACCCCAAGGCUACGAUAGGUAGGGGUCCUGAGAGGGAGAUCCCCCACACUGGGACUGAGACAGGGACCAGACUCCUACGGGAGGCAGCAGUGAGGAAUAUUGGUCAAUGGUCGGAAGACUGAACCAGCCAUGCCGCGUGCAGGAAGAAUGCCUUAUGGGUUGUAAACUGCUUUUAUAUGGGAAGAAUAAGGCGUACGUGUACGUUGAUGACGGUACCAUAUGAAUAAGCAUCGGCUAACUCCGUG
rnacentral:rRNA from 1 species